UGCAUUACUAAUUGCACAAUUAUUUUGUUCUGUGGCACUUGCAGAAAAGAACUUGGAGUGCUUUCAGCAAAUUCUGGUGUUGAGGAAAUAAUGAAUUGUUUAAAAAAAAAAAGAAAAGGUACUAAAUUAAGUGCUUUUUCUUCAUGAGGAUGUGUUCCCAGGCUUUGUGCAGCUGUCUUCCCAAAGCUUUCUGAAGAUUAAUGCAACGUGCGAAGGUCAGCGUGGUCCUGAGUAAAGGAAGGGGCUGCUGGGGGACCUGGUGGCACAGUGGAAUGAGGAGAGCGAUGUUGCUGAACUCAGCACGGAGACUCAGGUGUUUGGAAACCUCUUCUGGAUCAGGAGGAAAAUGAGUCUGUUUCUGUGAGAUUGAUCUGUGGGCACCAACAGAGUGUUCAGCUGGAUGAGAGAUGUUGCCUCUAUGAGAGAGGCAACAAACAGAGAAUUAAGUGUCAGCCUGCUGAGACAUGGGACAAAAGGGGAAACUCAAUGACAACAUCGCUGCAUUCUGCCUUUUGGUGGCUGUCAGCUGGGCUCAGACAGCUCCUUGCUGCCCUAAAAUCCGUGGUUGUGCUGUGUGUGCUCCGGUCUGCUGCAUCGCACUUAUGCUUCAGCCUGCUCUGAAAGUGACAUUUCUGCAUUGAUAAGCAACAACCUCAAGCAACACCCUCGCUGACUGAGGCAGCCUGGUGGCCAGGUGUUGAGUAAGCAGCUGUACUGGAGACAUCUGAAUGCUGACAGAAAGAGGUUUCCCAUUGCUGCCUGGAUGGAUGGCCACACCAGUCCUGCCUUGGCCCCAGGGGAUGGUCUCCUGCACUCUCCCACGUCUUGACUUCAUGACUGUACCCCUUGGAUCCCAUCGCUGUUUGCCUUUGGAAAGGAGAGCAUCCUGCAGAAAACAGGAAUGAGGGCUUAUCUCCAAGAGCUGUCACUUCCCCACACCGCCUUCAGCUCAGUGCUACCAUGAAGUCACUGUGGGAAUGUGACCUUUAUGGGGAAUGGUGCACCUGGAACUGUGAAAGAUUUAAACUUGCAAAUCCAAAGCUUAAACAGUAAACAGUUUGGCCUCAAACAGUCCGGAAUGGGGGG
ensembl:lncRNA